GAUGAACGCUAGCGGCAGGCCUAAUACAUGCAAGUCGAACGGUAACGGCGCCAGCAAUGGCGCCACAAGAGUGACGCACGGGUGCGUAACACGUAUGCAACCUACCCUUACAGGAGUAUAGCUCGGGGAAACGUACGAAUUAACCCUUCAUAGUAUAAAUGAAUGGCAUCAUUUGUUUAUUAAAUCUGAGGAGGUAAAGGAUGGGCAUGCGUCUGAUUAGCUAGNGGUUAGUGUAAUGGACUACCAAGGCGAUGAUCAGUAGGGGGAACUGAGAGGUUGAUCCCCCACACUGCG
rnacentral:rRNA from 1 species